rnacentral:misc_RNA from 1 species
GUGAAUCAUCAAAUCUUUGAACGCAAAUUGCGCUUCCUGGCAUCCCGGGAAGUAUGCCUGUUCGAGGGUCAGUUUUAAUAAAAAACCGGUUUUGUUACAAAUUGUUUCGCUUCCGUCGUUUGGGCUAUCUUAACAUUUUUGGUUAAGAGGCUUAAAAUUGACCUUUUUUGCGCAUUUUUAAACGUACAUAAAUUUUUUUUAUCCGUCUAUUCUUAAUGCAAUAUUCUUAUUAGAU